UAUUUAUUUUUUUCUUUUGAUAAAACAUUAAGUGCUAUUUUUGUGACUUUUGACCUUAAGUGCUAGUUUGAGAACAAAAAUUUGAUUUAGUGCUAUUUUUGUCUUUUCUCGUAAAUAAAUCAAACAACGUCUUCUUUUAGAAAAUUACGAAGACAAGAAUACAAAAUAUAAGAAACUUAAAACUCAUUUUUAUUAGGUUUGUUAAAAAGAACCCCAACUUUCUCUCCCGAUGCGUAGACUGCAUCCCUUCCGUUUCGAGCUCUCUUGUGGGGACCGGCGUACGGCGGCUUAGAUAGUGCUGGCGUCGGUUUCUUGUUGUGUGUAGUGUUGGUUUUUAGGCUUUGCUGUUUUUAUUGGUGUAGAUCUGAGAUUCCCGCUGGUCCUCGUUUGAUUUGUUGAGUUUGAAGUCUUAAAGGGCAGAUAUGCUUCGAUUGGCCAUAUGCAACAGCGUUAGAUCCGGGUUAAGAAAACUUGGAGUCUGGAUUACUAGAAGUGGAUGGAAUCGUUGGGCUUGCCGAGGACAACAUCUAUUAAUCUGAAUCAUUGCUUGCUGCUAUAGGUUUGGUUAAAUGCUUGGAGUUGUCAUAGUCUUUGAGUAGAUGGAUAUGUCUUUUGUUCCUGUUUUAAUUGCAGACUAUAGUAUCUAUCCGUGUGUUCGAUUUAACUUGUAAGUUGCUCCAGAGUGGGUUUUAGCUGUCUGUUCUUUAGGCU